CUGAAACCUGUUUCUCCUGUAUUAAAAGGUUGGUCAGGUUUGAAACUAUUCACCCAUGCUCCUUCAAAAGUAUAAUAGAAAGGAGGCGGGUUAUUUGUGGGCCACGUGCCACUCCAAUUUGCUGAUCCCGCUGCCCUGUUGUAAGAUGGAGCUUGAUCUUGAUAAGCACUUGUACCAUAUCGUCCUCCUGCUUCUGCUCCAAAUCCUGAACUGCCAUAAGCUGAAGGUUGAUUAUUGGGUGCGCUUGUAUUGCUCUGACUCCCAUCUUCUGACUCAGAAUUGGUCCACGUUUGUUCACUUGCACCACUCUCAUCUUUUGUACUCGGUGAGGCCGGCCCUUUAGAUGAUUUUGGAGCACUCUCAUCGACUUCAUCAC
rnacentral:lncRNA from 1 species